rnacentral:lncRNA from 1 species
GUUAUACAUCUCUACCAUUACCUAGCCUGAAAAGCCACCUCAGAUUCAGCCAACAAAGAUUGCUGAUUUGCUCCUUAAGCAAGAGAUUCACUGCUGCUCAGCAUGGCUCAGACCAACUCAUGCUUCAUGCUGAUCUCCUGCCUGAUGUUCCUGUCUCUGAGCCAAGGUGAGAUUGUUUUCCCCACACAUACCUCCCACAACCCCAGCCCUGAAGCCCUCACUCUAUCCUCAUGCAUAUGAGUUCACUUGAGAAAAAGCAGAGUCAAGUUCAGGGGUUGUCUUGUGUUGUUCAGUGAUAUUUAUUGCUGAUCUCAUCCCAUUCAAAAACAUCCUGACCUCCCUAAGGAGUUAGAGAUGGAACUUAGCAUAACCCUUUAUCAGUGACCACUGCAGUUGGCAUUGGUUUGUCAUAUUAACACUACUCAUGAUGGGGGGGUUGAGGAUGUCUGUUUGUAGACAG